AGUGAACGCUGGCGGUAGGCCUAACACAUGCAAGUCGAACGGCAGCACAGAGGAGCUUGCUCCUUAGGUGGCGAGUGGCGGACGGGUGAGGAAUACAUCGGAAUCUACUCUGUCGUGGGGGAUAACGUAGGGAAACUUACGCUAAUACCGCAUACGACCUACGGGUGAAAGCAGGGGACCUUAGGGCCUUGCGCGAUUGAAUGAGCCGAUGUCGGAUUAGCUAGUUGGCGGGGUAAAGGCCCACCAAGGCGACGAUCCGUAGCUGGUCUGAGAGGAUGAUCAGCCACACUGGAACUGAGACAAGGUCCAGACUCCUACGGGAGGCAGCAGUGGGGAAUAUUGGACAAUGGGCGCAAGCCUGAUCCAGCCAUACCGCGUGGGUGAAGAAGGCCUUCGUGUUGUAAAGCCCUUUUGUUGGGAAAGAAAUCCAGCUGGCUAAUACCCGGUUGGGAUGACGGUACCCAAAGAAUAAGCACCGGCUAACUUCGUGCCAGCCGCCGCGGUAA
rnacentral:rRNA from 1 species